rnacentral:rRNA from 1 species
AUUCCAGCUCCAAUAGCGUAUAUUAAAGUUGUUGCAGUUAAAAAGCUCGUAGUUGGAUUUCUGGCGUGAGGCGACUGUUCCUAGGCUCUAUGCCUAGUGUAACAGAUCGCCUCGGCCAUCCUUCUGGAGAACGGCCCUGCUCUUCAUUGAGUUGGGGUCGGGAUCCAGAUCUUUUACUUUGAAAAAAUUAGAGUGUUUAAAGCAGGCUUAUGCCUUGAAUACAUUAGCAUGGAAUAAUAAUUUAGGACUUUGGUUCUAUUUUGUUGGUUUCUAGAACUGAAGUAAUGAUUGAUAGGGAUAGUUGGGGGUGCUAGUAUUCAGCGGCCAGAGGUGAAAUUCUUGGAUUCGCUGAAGACUAACUUAUGCGAAAGCAUUCACCAAGGAUGUCUUCAUUG